rnacentral:rRNA from 1 species
CCAAUAGCGUAUAUUAAAGUUGUUGCAGUUAAAAAGCUCGUAGUUGAAUUUCGGGAUCAAAGGAUCGGUCAUGCCUUGGUAUGUACUGGUUUUAUUGGUUCUCACCUUCUAAAGAACCAUGAUGUCAUUCAUUUGAUGUUAUGGGGAAUUAGGACUGUUACCUUGAAAAAAUUAGAGUGUUUAAAGCAAGCUUACGCUUGAAUACAUUAGCAUGGAAUAAUGAAAUAGGACAUCAGAUUCUAUUUUGUUGGUUUCUAGGAUCGAUGUAAUGAUUAAUAGGGAUAGUUGGGGGCAUUAGUAUUCAAUUGUCAGAGGUGAAAUUCUUGGAUUUAUUGAAGACUAACUACUGCGAAAGCAUUUGCCAAGGAUGUUUUCAUUAAUCAAGAACGAAAGUUAGGGGAUCGAAGACGAUCAGAUACCGUCGUAGUCUUAACCAUAAACUAUGCCGACUAGGGAUCGGAUGAUGUUAAUUUUUUAAUGACUCAUUCGGCACCUUACG